rnacentral:tRNA from 1 species
GGGCUCGUAGCUCAGUACCGUUUGUAUCAAUUAAUAUACUCGGUUGAGUAACAGCAGAGCACCCGCCUUGCACGCGGGGGGCCGAGGGUGCGAGGCCGUCUAUCCCUCCGAGUCCA